UGACUACUCACUCCGUCCAACAAAAAAGUCUCAAGUUUGUCAAAAUUUAGAUGUACCUAGACAUGACUUAGUAUAUAGAUGCAUUUAAAUUUAAUCAAAGUUGAGACAUCCUUUGUUGGACGAGAAAGUACUAA
rnacentral:pre_miRNA from 1 species